AACUUUUAACAAUGGAUCUCUUGGCUCUCACAUCGAUGAAGAACACAGUGAAAUGUGAUAAGUAAUGUGAAUUCAGAAUUCAGUGAAUCAUCAAAUCUUUGAACGCACCUUGCACCUUUUGGUAUUCCAAAAGGUACACCUGUUUGAGUGUCAUG
rnacentral:rRNA from 1 species